UUGAAUAAUAAAGAAAUAGGUUUAGUGCAGAUAAUUAUCUGUAUUAAUUAAAAGGGAAGUUGGGUGAAAAUCCCACACGGUCCCGCCGCUGUAAGAGUGUAGUCUUUUCAAAUAAACCACUGGGAAACUGGGAAGGUAGAAAAGAUGAUAAUACUUGAGUCAGAAGACCUGCCUAUUUUUUCGCCGGAAC
rnacentral:ncRNA from 2 species